CACCGCGGUUAUACGAGAGACCCAAGUUGAUAGACCCCGGCGUAAAGAGUGGUUAAGAUUUAUUUAUACUUAAAGCCGAACGCCCUCAAAGCAGUUAUACGCACCCGAGGGUAAGAAGCCCAAUCGCGAAAGUGGCUUUAUUACUCCUGACUCCACGAAAGCUAAGGAA
rnacentral:rRNA from 1 species